AUUACUUAGCUUUCAUGGAAGGACAAAAGACUGCCUGGAAUCCUAUUGCUGAAAACUGGAUCAAUUUCUGAGUGGUCAGAUUUUCAUCUAGUCUGAUGUCUUGUGUAUUACCAGGAUACAGAGAGCUUCCUACAAAGAAAUGCUCCUCUCCACUGCCAAGGGCUUUGAAUACCUUUGGAAGAGGCAGAUCACACCUUAAUGACUGAAUAUUUCAAUCUAACUCAUCUGGUGAACUACCGAAAAAUUAAAUCUUCCUGUGUCUGUGUUUCUACAUAAGAUGAAGAUGUACACCUUCCUGAAAUAAGCACUCUGCUUAUAAAUAGCAUGGAUUGGAGGCAAAUUGAUGGA
rnacentral:lncRNA from 1 species